rnacentral:rRNA from 1 species
UACGUAGGGUGCAAGCGUUGUCCGGAAUCAUUGGGCGUAAAGAGCGUGUAGGCGGUCCGGUAAGUCCGCUGUGAAAGUCCAGGGCUCAACCCUGGGAUGCCGGUCGAUACUGCCGGACUAGAGUUCGGAAGAGGCGAGUGGAAUUCCCGGUGUAGCGGUGAAAUGCGCAGAUAUCGGGAGGAACACCAAUGGCGAAGGCAGCUCGCUGGGACGUUACUGACGCUGAGACGCGAAAGCGUGGGGAGCAAACAGG